rnacentral:sRNA from 1 species
GGCUGGGCUACACACGUGCUACAAUGGCGGUGACAAAGGGAAGCAAUAGGGCAACCUGGAGCAAAUCCCAAAAAGCCGUCUCAGUUCGGAUUGUUCUCUGCAACUCGAGAGCAUGAAGUUGGAAUCGCUAGUAAUCGUAGAUCAGCACGCUACGGUGAAUACGUUCCCGGGCCUUGUACACACCGCCCGUCACACCAUGGGAGUUGGUUUUACCCGAAGACGGUACCCUAACCUUUUUGGAGGGAGCCGGCCACGGUAGGGUCAGCGACUGGGGUGAAGUCGUAACAAGGUAGCCGUAGGGGAACCUGCGGCUGGAUCACCUCCUUUCUAAGGGAAGUACAAGAUUAAUUGCCGCCGUCUUUGUAUCUCUUCUUUUUGAACUUAUUAAAUUAUAGUCUUGCUACAGCUAAAGGCGCGUAGCUCAGUUGGUUAGAGCGCACGACUGAUAAUCGUGAGGUCGGCAGUUCAAAUCUGCCCGUGCCUACCACUGUCUGUAAGAGUUCAAAUAUUAUCAAAACAGUUUAAUUGACUACAUUGUUGAUCUGUUUGACAUAGUUGGUAAAAAUAAUCCCAAAUAAUAGGGUAGCAUUUCUUAUGCUAUCCUGCUUACGGAUCGUAUUCAAAAAAUAUUGAAGUUUAUUUUUUAAUAGUAGUAAUGGUUGUCUGACCGGUUACUACUUUCAUGUACGGUCCGAUCAAGCGUCUUGAAGAGCAUUUGGUGGAUGCCUUGGUACAGAGAGGCGAUGAAGGACGUGACACGCUGCGAUAAGCUGUGGGGAGCC